CCCCGCACAAGCAGCGGAGCGUGUGGUUUAAUUCGAUGUUACACGAAGAACCUUACCAGGGUUUGACAUGCAAGUGGUAGGAAACCGAAAGGCGACCGACCCUUCGGGGAGCUUGCACAGGUGCUGCAUGGCUGUCGUCAGCUCGUGUCGUGAGAUGUUCGGUUAAGUCCGCUAACGAGCGCAACCCUCGCUGUGUGUUACAAGUGUCACACGGUACUGCCGGUCUUAAGCCGGAGGAAGGUGGGGAUGACGUCAAGUCAGCAUGGCCUUUAUGUCCUGGGCUACACACACGCUACAAUGGCCAACACAAUAGGUUGCUAAGCCGCGAGGUGGAGCCAAUCCUCAAAGUUGGUCUCAGUUCAGAUUGCAGGCUGCAACCCGCCUGCAUGAAGAUGGAGUUGCUAGUAACCGCAGGUCAGCUAUACUGCGGUGAAUACGUUCCCGGGGCUU
rnacentral:rRNA from 1 species